rnacentral:rRNA from 1 species
AAUAGCUCGUACUCCCCGAAAUGUUUUUAGGAACAGCGUCGUGGUUGAGUCAUGGUCAGGUAGAGCUACUGAUAGGGCUAGGGGGAGUCAAAUCCUACCAAACUCUGACAAACUCCGAAUGGGCUAUGAUAUACACGGCAGUGAGGGCCGGGGUGCUAAGGUCCCGGUCCGAGAGGGGAACAACCCAGAGCAUCAGCUAAGGUCCCAAAAUAUAUGCUAAGUUGAACUAAGGGGGUCCGACUGCAGAGACAGCCAGGAUGUUAGCUUGGAAGCAG